GAUGAACGCUGGCGGCGUGCUUAACACAUGCAAGUCGAACGGAAAGGCUCCUGCUUGCAGGGGUACUCGAGUGGCGAACGGGUGAGUAACACGUGGGUGAUCUGCCCUGCACUUCGGGAUAAGCCUGGGAAACUGGGUCUAAUACCGGAUAGGACGAUGGUUUGGAUGCCAUUGUGGAAAGUUUUUCGGUGUGGGAUGAGCUCGCGGCCUAUCGGCUUGUUGGUGGGGUAAUGGCCUACCAAGGCGUCGACGGGUAGCCGGCCUGUGAGGGUGUACGGCCACAUUGGGACCGAGGGGCGGCCCAGGUUGCGACGGGAGGCAGCAGUGGGGAAUAUUGCACAAUGGGCGCAGGGCUGAUGCAGCGACGCUGCGUGGGGGAUGACGGCCUUCGGGUUGUAGACACCUUUCGCGAGGGACGAAGCGUUUUGUGACGGUACCUGGAGAAGAAGCACCGGCUAACUACGUG
rnacentral:rRNA from 1 species